AGGACCUCGUCAGGAACCAGUUCUGCAAAGAGCAGAAGGGAGAGGAACGUCAUCAAGCACCUCUGAAACUGGCAGAGCAAAUCUCCCACAAAAGUUGCGCCUUGAAGAUCUAUUGGCAGCUGGAAGUACUAAGCGCAAGGC